AUAUAGGCUAGGUACAACUUCCUAGGGAGAAGCUCAACACACAUUUUAUUUCAACAUCACUGGAUACGCACAGCAGUAGAAGUUCCACCACAAUAGAAAGAGGGAAAAGAGAGCUGCUACAAAGACAACAGUGGAGGUUGCUGGGGUUGUUGAAGCUGGCGGUGCACUGAUUGCAGGUGUACGGCUUCUCACCAGAGUGAGUCCUCAGGUGGAUCUUCAGGCUGCCGUUCUGCGUGAAACGUUUCCCACACUGUGGACAAGCGUACGGCUUCUCACCGAGCUCAUCGCUGUUGAAGCCAUUUGAGUGGAAUGAUUUCGGUCCACCUGGCUGUUUCUCACCAGUCCAACGCUGUUAUCCUGCAUCACUGUCAUCGGUACACUGUCACUAGCACCAGUGGUAAAGUUGAGGAGACCGUCG